rnacentral:rRNA from 1 species
CACGUAGGGCGCAAGCGUUGUCCGGAAUUAUUGGGCGUAAAGAGCUCGUAGGCGGUCUGUUGCGUCCGCUGUGAAAACUCGGGGCUUAACCCCGAGCCUGCAGUGGAUACGGGCAGACUAGAGGUAGGUAGGGGAGAAUGGAAUUCCCGGUGUAGCGGUGAAAUGCGCAGAUAUCGGGAGGAACGACCGGUGGCGAAGGCGGUUCUCUGGGCCUUACCUGACGCUGAGGAGCGAAAGCGUGGGGAGCGAACAGG